CCAAUCAUGGUAAUCGAUUAAACCUGCGCAGGCAGCUGUAGUAGCUCUGUUUUUUACACAGUGUACUUUUUGGGUCACCCCCUUUUCCACCUACUUUCCCUAUAAAUAGAGGUACUAUUUCCCCUCAUUUUUCAUGCUUCCUAGCCCUCAAAAGUUCUGUCCAAGUACCAUUUACUCUCCUCUCCAAACCUAGGUAAAAAAAAAAAUCUUUCUCACUUAGAAAAGUCACCCCACCAACCUUUUUUGUCCUCUUUCAUAUUUUUUUUCGAAACUUCUUACUCUCUAACGCUCAUAACUCAGCUCCUUCACCAUACUUCCACCAUAAACACUUCCAUCCCAAACCCCUUGCUUCAUAUCCAAGCUCAACACCAUUCCAACCUACCUUUUUCCAACAUUUUUGGGGUAAUGAUUUUAGCUUAAAAUUUGUUAACUUUUUGGUUUUGUUUUUGUGUUGAAAAUGGUUGUUUAUUCUUGGUUGAUCUUUUGAGAGGUUUUAGACCCAAGCUUGUAAAAAAUGAUUAACUUUGGUUUACACCAUUUUUUUGGGAUUUCUUGCUCUUGCUACUUUUAUCCACCAUCUUUAAUCAAGCUUAGUAUUUUGUUUCAUUUGAUAUUUAUUGUGGACUUGUUUUCACAUUUAUUUGGUUGAUGAGAUCUAUUAGAUUAUGGCCAUGGUUGUCUAGAGUUGAUAAAACCUUCAAUGUUUCAAACCUAUUAAUGAUUGAUCAAUAGAUCCUUCAUGAUACUUUGAGGCAUUGAUAGGUUGUCUUUAUUUCAACCAUGUUUGGGUCAUUUGAUACAUAGAUGAAACCAUUUUCUUUACAUUAACUUGUUAUUCUACUAACACCUAACCACUAACUACUAACUCCUAACAUUUACAUUAUUGCACUUUACUUCCUUGUAAUUUAUUUUAUUGUUCACUUUAUUUCAAGUACUUUAUGUUUAUGUUUAUGGACUUAGGGUUGCAUAACUUUCUUUGUUACAAAUCUAUUGUUAAUUGAUUUUUCAAUCAUCUUCAAUACUUUGCAUCAAUGACAAGCUAUCCCUUAGUGUGUCAUGUUUUGAGUCUUUUUGACAUAUGAAAAAUAGUCCUCAAGACGUUCAUUUUGUACAUAUUACUAACCACUAAUUAUACUUCACUAACUUUGUUUAUUAUUAACCUUUGUUAUUGCGAUUUUGUUACCAUUAACUUAUGGUUUAUUUUGUGUCAUUUCCAUUCACUAACCAUUAUUAUUGUGAUAUUGUCAUUCUUUAUAUUAUGAUUUACUUUUAUGUCAUUAUCUUAUAAUUUACAUUCAAGUACUCAUUAUCAUCAUCAUUGUACAAAUUCAUCAUGCAUGUUUAUUUACUUGUUAUUUAUUUUAUUGUCAUCAUACAUUAAAAAUAACAAAAACAUGAUAAGAUGGUAAGACCAAAAAUAUUCAUUCCACUCUUAAUCAACUUGGAUUUAUUGGAUUUCAUCUUAGGACCUUUGCUUGGAAGUCUUCCUUUACUCUUUGUGAUAUUUUCUAAACACUUGGAUUUUCAUCCUAACUUACAUGAAUAUUGUAAGAAUGGCAUCAAUGGCACCACCUUAGGGGGACAUGUUUGUAAGACCAUUAUCCUUUGUUUAACUUAGGUCACUUUAGCACACAAAAGGCUUUCUCUUGGGCUACCUUACAAUGAGACUCUUUAAUUUCUUGUUGGUUACUUUGCAUUCACGUUACAUUAGCUAAAAUUCGUAAGCAAUCUCAUUUCGAGACCAUUUUCAUAAUUCAAUUCAUAUGCACAUAUAAAUACAAACCUCGGUCAACAUCGAGUGCGCCUUUCCCAAAUCAAUUCGAAACACCUUUGUAAGUCGAUCGCUUUUAGCAUCGCCAUCAACCUCACAUAGCUUACUCUUAGGCUUUCUUACAAUGAGACCUAUUCGGUUUUAAUUAAUCGAUUAGAUGAACUACUCACUAAUUAAAUCCAAUCCAUUCGUAAACAUAAAUUUUAAACCUCGAUCCAAUGUUGAGUAUUUUUAUUCAAAUUAAUUAAAAUACCUAAUCACGGUUAAACACCAUUUCAUUUGGAAAUGAAAAGGGGGAUGGUUUUGAGUUUUCAAUUCCUCUCCUCGAUUAUUUGAAUACGAGUUCUCUUACUCGGUUAGUCAAAUAAUCGUCAUUUCCAAUCCACUCAAGCACAAAUAAAUCAAAUCCUUUUACAUUAAGGAAUAAAAAGGGAGAUAACUUUGAAUCUUCAAUUUUUUUCUCCUCGACUAUUUGAGUACAAGUUCUCUUACUUGUUUAGUCAAAUAAUUGUCGUUCCUCUACAAACCUCCAAACCCCGAUUAAAUCAAAAUAUUUUUUACAAUAAGUUGAAUGAAAAAGGAGUUGACUUUGAGUUUUCAACUUUAAACCCCGAUUAAAUCAAAAUAUUUUUUACAAUAAGUUGAAUGAAAAAGGAGUUGACUUUGAGUUUUCAACUUCACUCCUCAAUUGGACGAAUACGAGUUCUCUUACUCGGUCAGUCGAACAAUUGUCAUUUUCUCCGCAAACAUAUGAUUCAAUCAAACCACUUUCAUAACAAAUUAUACGAAAAAGGAGAUGGUUUUGAGCUUUCAACUCCUCUUCUCAAAUGCUUGGAUGUGAGUUGUUUUACUCAGUCGUUCAAGUACUUGUCGUUCAUUCUAAAAUACGUCAAACAUAUACAACCUUAUUUUCAUAAAUACUCAGAUGAAACAGAGAGCGGUUUAGAGUCUUCUAUUCCCUUUCUCGGUUAUUAGGAUACGAGUUGUCUUACUCGACUAUACGAGUAAUCGUCAUCCAACCAAAAAUAUCUCAACACAUCAAACCUAUCUUUUCUCGCCCUCGUGCGAUCAUAACCAAUCAAACAAAACACCCAACGUAUUAAUUCAACUUGUCACCCUCGUGUGAUCAAAACUCUUUUCAGAAAGAACACUAUUUAAUCCUUUCUAAUGCGCAUAACAAACCAAUACUUAAGCCUCCGCCAAGAGUAGACAAACCAAUGUUUAGCCUUUAGAACGCGAUCUAAAUAGUUGUUCGAUAAAAGACACCAGCCAACCGUAGUUUCCCGAACUAUGAAUGCUCUGAUUUCCUUAUUUAAGGAUACGUAGGAAGGAGAUUGCUGUAUCUUCGCGAGCACACCAAUAAAAAAAACCUCCUCUUUCCCUUUAUGAGGUUCUCAUUCAUUUCUAUUUUAAAUAAUUUUAUGACCCAAAAGAUAACAAACAAACAUAAAUUAACACUCAAAACACACAUUAGAACUAAAAAGUCCCUGUUGAGUACAACGGACGUAAGAGGUGCUAAUACCUUCCCUUUACAUAAUCCACUCCCGAACCCGAAUAUGGUUGCGACGACCGUUAUUCUACUUUUCAAAGGUUUUAUCGAUAUUUUCCUAUUCCUUCAUUGGGAUAAAUAAAGUUCGGUGGCGACUCUGUUCGAACAUAAUUUUUUCCGCGGCCAUCGCGAGGAAUCGUAUUUUUCGAGAUGCGACAGAUGGUGACUCUACCGGGGAUUAGCUCCAAGCAAAAGAGAGUAAAGCCUAAUUUAGUUCAGUUUCUGUAUUGUGUGUUAAUCUUGUUUGUUUGUUUUUUGUUUAUUCUGCUAUUAUUAUGAUGUCACAAUUAUUGUCUGGUGUUUCUAUUGACUAUGUAUUAUUAGGGUUCUCUGGUUGGUGAUGUUUUGUGAGAUAGACUCUCCACCCGAGUCUGAGAAAAACCAUAAGAUUAAGUUGGUGGUUGCAUAGUGGGCGCCCACAAGGAGUCUUCCUUGUUGGGAAGAAAUGAAGACCCCGCCUAGAGGAGAUUCUCUUGAGAUAUUAUUGCCCGACGAGUCUUCGUCAUGAAGAUAGUAUUCUCAAGUUGGAUCAAUGACUCUAGGGACCUUUUAACCCAUUAUAUCCGGUGGUUGUAUAGUAUCUACCUGAAAAGUCCCAGACUUAUUGGGUUAAUACGAAAGCCCCAAUCAGAUGAGAUCCCUUGGGCGUAUUACUACCUUAUAGUGGUAUUCCCAACCUCGAUCUAUGACUCUGAGAACCUUAUUAGAACCUUGGACUCGAGAAGUUUUGUAGUAUGGACCCACAAGGAGUUUUCCUCUUUGGGAUCAUACGAAGGCCUCACCCAAACGAGACUCUGUUUGGGGAUGUUAUUUGCAGAUGAGUUUUCGUCAUGACAAUAACUUUCCUAAAUAGUGAUUGAUGACUUUGGGAACCUCUUACCUUUAGCAUCCUCCCAAAAGGGUUUUGUUUAGUAGCCAAGAAUACCCGCUCUCACGACCUGUAUAUUAACCUACAUGUGGCACGCAUAACAUCAUUCAUAGCAUCACAUUCAUACUAUUUUAUUUCCAAGGAAUCUGAGUAUCAUGAGUUGCAGGAAUUCAAGAAAUAUGGAAUCAAGCAAAAGAAACAUUUACUCCUUCAAGUUCAAAGAUCCCGAUCUAAAGAGCUUACAUGACUUGGUCUCUCAGAUGCACCCGAUAUACAGAAUCAACUUUGGAAAGAAUUAUGGCAACCUGCUCAGCAUCCUCAAUCAGCAAGUGGACCAUACAACCGUAAUCACUCUAGCCCAAUUCUAUGACCUACCUUUAAGAUGCUUCACAUUCCAAGAUUUCCAGCUAGCACCAACGUUGGAAGAAUUCGAGCGUCUUGUUAGGAUUCCUAUGAAGAACAAGCCACUAUUUGAAGGGAUAGAUGAAUCUUUGCCCCUUGAGGUCAUUGCUAGUGCGCUUCACAUGGUUUAGGAUUCCUAUGAAGAACAAGCCACUAUUUGAAGGGAUAGAUGAAUCUUUGCCCCUUGAGGUCAUUGCUAGUGCGCUUCACAUGGAUGAAAAGGAAGCAGAGGCUAACUUAGAGACCAAAGGGAAGACCAAAGGAUUUUCACUAAGUUUUAUUUUGGAAAGAGCUCAUACCCCAUUGAAGGCAGAAAGUUGGGAUGCUUGUUAUUCUGCUAUUGCAUUGGCCAUCUAUGGCAUCGUCCUGUUCCCGAAUAUGGAUGGUUUCAUAGACAUGACUGCCAUUUGUGUUUUCCUUACUAGGAACCCAGUACCCACUUUGUUAGCAUAUGUAUAUUAUUACAUAAGUCAUAGGUAUACUAAGAAGAAGGGAUUGAUUACUUGUUGUGCUCCUUUAUUAUAUUAGUGGUUUCUAGAACAUAUUCCGAAGACAGGUGCUUGGGUUGAACAAACAGAUGUUAGUUGGCCUCAGAGAUUGGGAUCACUCCGGUCUGAAGAUCUCUCUUGGUACUCCAAAUAAUACAUCAACAUGGAUAUCAUAUUCAGUUGUGGAGAUUUCCCAAAUCUACUGCUUAUUGGAACUCAAGGAUGUGUGAAUGCUAAUCCAGUCCUAUCACUCAGACAACUUGGCUACCCAAUGGAAGGCCCUCCAGAGGCAAAUUCUUUGGAAGCUUUCUUGUUACUUGACUUUGGGGUUGAGAAUCCUAGCUUAUUCCAGCGAAUCAAAGAGGCUUGGAGGAAUGUCAAUCGAAAAGGGAAAGUUGAUUUAGGGAGAGCAAAUGGGAUUACAAAAGAACCAUAUUUUCAAUGGGUAAAGGAAAGGGUGCAGAUGAUUAAAAUGCCAUUUGUCAUUCGGACACCUAUGCCUCUUCCUGAACCUAAGCUCACCCAUGUCCCUAUUGAAGAAAUGGAGGAACUCAAGACCACCAUGGCAAAGCUAGAAAAAGAGAAUGAAAAGUUACAGAUAAAACUCCAACAAACCAUCAAUGAGAAAAACAAUAUGAAGUGGGAGCUUGAGAGAAAAGAGGCACAACUUCAAGCCCAUGUGGAAAAGUUCAACAAGGAGGAGCAUAAGAGGAAAAAGAUCAUGGGAUUAGAACAAGCUGAUCAUUAUUUAGAUACUCUUAAGGGUCAACUACGACAAACUCAGAAAGAAUGUCAAGACAAUGAGUCAUUGGUGGCAUCCUAGCCACGAAGGAAACAAACAAUAAGGGAUACACUUGGGGCUCAGAUAAAGGAGCUCACCAAUUCUGUUCGUCAUGCAAAGGCUGAAGUAGAUUCAGGAGCGCCAACUCAAGAAUAUAGUCACUGAAGCUUCUAGGGUGUCACCCAUGAUAUGGGAAGAGAAGUGUUGAGAAGUAAGAGAUGGCAAGGAGUCUGUCAGCUAUUGGAAGAACCAGCUAGAGUCAUUACGCAGACAACUCCAUAUGGGUUGAAAGAGCGAGACUAUGUGAUUGAGGAUUAUGAAUCCUUUAAGAAGACCAUAGACUUCUUACAAGGAGAUAGGGAUAAGUUUCGUGCAAAACUCGAUGGGCUAGUAGGGUUCUGUAAUUGGGCAGCUAAAGAAUUACCAUGGAAGUUGAGAGAUGCAGUCAAAGAAUUGAAAGAAGAUAGCACUCCUCCAGCCAUAAUCAGUUUCAUUCUGCUUUGUAAAGGGUUUCUGGAGAGAUUCAAUGAGGAACUAGAAGAGCUUCAGGCCAGAAAGCCAGCUGUUUAAUUUGCUUAUGUCUUGUAUUUUGUUCCUUUAACAAAUGUAGUUUUGAACUAUGACCUUCUUUGGACCCCUAUGUUAUGUACUUGAAUAAAUGACGUUUAAAAAUUACUCCAUUAUUGCUAUUCUAAGUAUUUAUUGUUUCUUCGAAUUACUAACAACUAAUGAAACUCGAAUAAUUCCCUGAAAAUAAAAUACGCAUGACAUUCGCAUCUUCAUUAUGCAUCAUGCUUCAUAAAAAUUCAAAAAAAACUUACCCAACCUUUUUACCCUUUAUCCAGCCACACUGACUAAUCAACACCGAUACGAGACGCGAAGCAAAUACAAGAUGACAUUAGAGCGAGUUGAGGCCAAUCAAGUUACCAUGAGGACAAACAUCAAUACGAUCCAGGAGAAGAUGGAUCAGUUGUUGGAGACAAUGCUCGCGGUCGCUCAGAGAGAGAAGAUUGAGGAGGAAAAAGCUAGGGCAAAAAGGAAUAAUAGCACGCCAGGUCUGAACCCCCAGGACGAGGGUUACGUCCCCACCAAGAAAAGAUUGGUUCAGAUACCGGUAGGAGGCAAAUGAGAUGGAAACCGUGUAGAACCUUCUGAUAUGUCUACUCAUCAUGGAUCCGAAAUUGGAGAUGACCAAUAUGAUGCAUUCUAUAUGCCUGAUCAACCAAAACCUAAGUUACUUCCAUAUCCUGCUGCAGAUAGGCUUCAUGCCCUGGAAAAGAAGAUCAAAGCCAUAGAAGGAAACAAUAUCUUUAGUGCUUCUGCCAUGAACAUGCGCUUGGUAUCGAAUUUAGUCAUCCCGGCUAAAUUUAAAACUCCUGAUUUCGAGAAAUACAAAGGACAGACUUGUCCAAGAAGUCACCUGGUAAUGUACUUCAGAAAAAUGGCUGCUCAUACCAAAAACGACAAACUACUUGUACACUGUUUCCAAGACAGUUUGAGUGGGGCAUGUCUGAGAUGGUACAUGAGCUUAGAGCAAGGGCGGAUUCAAAGCUAGGAGGAUUUGGCUGACGCAUUUCUCCGUCAGUACAAAUAUAACUUAGAUAUGGCACCCGACCGAAUGCAGUUGCAAGGGAUGGCUAUGAAGGAGAGUGAGUCAUUCAAAGAAUAUGCCCAGCGGUGGAGAGAGUUGGCUGCUCAGGUAGAGCCAUCAUUGUCUGAGAAGGAAAUGACCGGGAUAUUUGUGGACACCUUGAAGGACCCAUUCUUUGAUCGAUUACUGAGCAGUGCAGCAUCUGACUUCGCACAUCUAGUCACAAUUGGAGACCGCAUAGAGAAGGGGUUAAGGGAUGGAAAGAUUCCAAGAGCAGUGACAGCACCUAGUGCACCGAAGAAGUAUUCUGGAGGCUUCUCGAAGAAAAGAGAAGGUGAAACAAACGCCAUAUCCAGAAACUAUAAAGGGAAGCAACAAGCUUCAUAUGGUCAAGUCGCCGCGUGGUGCCUAUACCCUACCAACAGCCAGUGCAACAACAACAAAUGUAUCAACCAUAACAUCAACAACAUCAUCAUCAGCAAAAUGCUGCACCACCAAGACAAUUCAAGCCAAGACCUCCAAGAAGGCAACUUGAUCCCCUACCAGUACCUUAUAGUCAGAUAUUCCCAUAUCUGCAAAAAGAGGGCCUUCUAACAUUGAGGGAGUUAAAACAAGCUAUUUUUCCAUAUCCACCUAGAUACGAAGCUAAUGCCCAUUAUGAGUUUCACAUGGGAGCACCUGGUUAUACCUUGGAAAAUUGUUUCGCAUUUCAAAAUCGGGUACAAGACUUGAUCGAAGCCAAGGCCGUUUCUUUCACUCCGAGAUGCCCGAACGUAAACACCAAUCCUAUGCCAACACAUAAGGAUGCUUCCGUUAGUGCAUUAAGGAGGGUGAUCAAGGUAAAUUGAUCCGUAAGGUUGAAGAGAUUCAAACCCCUAUCACCAAAAUAGGAGUACAAUUGCUGAAGAGUGGUCUGAUCCCGAAGGAGUUGGUUGAGGAAGAGAACAAUGAAGAGCUGAGGAGUUUUAUACAACAAAUGCUGGAUCGAUGCGAGUUACAGAUGAAUUGUUGUGUCAAUAACAAGCGCCAGAAAGAGAUAGCCAUGGUGGACAUCCCUUAUGAUGAGGUUAAAGUGGAAAUACCUAUAAGCCCAUUGGUAAUAGAGUUUCCAACACCGUUUGCAUAUAAAGAUGAGAAGGCAGUCCCGUGGAUAUAUCAGCCCAGAGCUUUUAAGCAGGGGCAGGAAGACCAACCUUUGAUGAUCAACGAACCAAAUGUCACUUCAAUUGUGGGGCCGGCAGGGAUGACACGUAGUGGCAGAGUGUUCGCACCAAGAACUGCUGAUACUUCUGCAAAAGCCAAAGGGAAGGAAGCCGCUGUCCAGAUCCCCAUCCCUAAUCAAAAAAUGCAAGACAUGCACCUAUCUCCUAAAGCUGCAGUUACUCGUGAAGAGGCCGAGGAAUUUCUGAGGAUAAUCAAGAAGAGCGAUUAUAAGGUGGUGAACCAACUGAAUCAAACACCUUCAAAGAUCUCCAUGUUAUCUCUAUUGCUCAACUCAGAAGCACACAUGAAUUCACUAUUGAAGGUAUUGAGCGUCGCUCAUAUCACAAAGGACAUAAAGAUAGAACAAUUUGAUGACGUGAUAGCUUGUGUGACUACUAGAAAUUUCUUGGGUUUUAAUGAUGAUGAACUACCAAUCGAGGGAAAGAACCAUAAUAAGGCCCUCCAUAUAUCCUUGAAAUGCAUAGAUACUAUAUUGUCAAGAGUGUUAGUAGACACAGGUUCCUCAUUAAAUGUCAUGCCGAAGACAACUUUGAUAAAGCUGCCAAUGGAAGGAAUAAGUAUGAAACCUAGUACCCUAAUCGUAAAAGCAUUUGAUGGCUCAAGGCGAGCAGUGAUAGGAGAAGUUGACUUACCAACCAAGAUAGGUCCAACUAUUUUCAAUAUCAUAUUCCAGGUCAUGGACAUACAUCCUGGUUACAGUUGCCUACUUGGGAGACCUUGGAUUCACUCUGCGGGUGCUGUCACCUCUACUCUGCAUCAAAAACUGAAAUUCAUUAUAAAUGACAAGAUGAUUGUGAUUGGAGGAGAAGAAGAUAUCUUGGUUAGUCACUUAACAUCUUUCCGAUAUAUCGAGGUGGAUGGUGAAAUCACUGAGACACCAUUCCAAUCUUUGGAAGUGGUAAACAUGAUGGUCGUCCAACAGACCUUGGAGGUCCCGAAAUCAGGACCAUCCAUGGCCUCGUGGCAAGGAGCUAAAGCUGUUAUGGAAAGUGAAGAUGCUCAAGACUGGGGCAAAGUGGUGGAAGUGAAAGAGAAAUGAGACAAGUUUGGCCUGGGGUAUGACCCAUCAUCACACAAAGCCGGUAACCAACCUAACAAAGAGAAGAUUCCUUCUAUAGAGAAAACGUUCACCAGCGCUGGCUACAUCUUUGGCAAGCAGGUGGAAAUGAUCAGCGAAGAAGAUCGCAAAGAGGGGGUGUCCAGCUGGAUGCGUCAAGCUCCACCUAAUGAAGAACUGACAAACUGGAAGGUUGUGGAAGUUCCCCAAAUAUUUCAAAAGUAAUUUUAUCAUUUUAGACAAAAACCUGUGCUCUGCCCAAGGCACAAUGGCAUGUUGUAGGGCCUCCUUUAUCUUUUUCAAGAGUUUUUAUCAUUAAUGAAAUGACGUUUUGCAUCCAAAUUUUUGUUCAUUUCCUUUCGUUUUUAUCUAUUUACAAAAAUGGCAAUCAAUUUUUAUGCACGCACUUUUUAAAUAAACUGCAUAAAUCAUAACAUGCAGAAACACCACCGAGACCGUUGAUAACGACACUGCUAUGGUCCAAUAUGACUUUGAUUGUCCAAUCUACCAAGCUGAAGACAAAGUGGGGGAAGAUUGCGAACUCCCUGAAGAGUUUACCAGAUUACUCAGACAAGAAGAAAAGGUCAUUCAACCACACCAAGAGGACGUUGAGGUUAUCAAUCUGGGUAUAGAAGAAGAUAAGAGAGAAGUAAGGAUACGCGCCACGCUUCAAGAUACAGUGAAGACAAGACUGAUAGAGCUCCUCCACGAAUAUGACGACGUGUUUGCUUGGUCAUACCAAGACAUGCCUGGAUUAGAUACUGAUAUUGUGACUCACAAGCUUCCCCUUAAAGAAGAAUAUCCUGCUGUCAAACAAAAGCUAAGAAGAACUCGACCUGAUAUGGCUCUCAAGAUCAGAGAAGAGGUGAGAAAGCAGUUUGACGCUGGUUUCCUGGAAGUUGCCAAAUACCCACAAUGGGUUGCCAACAUUGUACUAGUACUGAAGAAAGAUGGAAAAGUCCGCAUGUGCGUAGACUACCGAGACUUGAACAAAGCCAGUCCCAAAGACGAUUUCCCGUUACCUCACAUUGAUGUAUUGGUAGAUAACACAGCUCAGUUCUCAGUGUUUUCCUUCAUGGAUGGUUUCUCUGGAUACAACCAAAUUAAAAUGGAUCCCGAGGACAUGGAGAAGACCACAUUCAUUACCCCUUAGGGCACCUUUUGUUACAAAGUAAUGCCGUUUGGAUUAAAGAACGCCGGGGUAACAUAUCAACGUGCCAUGGUGACUCUCUUUCACGACAUGAUUCAUGAAGAGAUUGAGAUGUAUGUCGAUGACAUGAUUGCCAAAUCCUAGACAGAAGAAGAACACAUCACCAACCUGGGGAAACUAUUCGCUCAUUUGAGGAAGUUUAGGUUGAGACUUAAUCCUAAUAAAUGCACAUUUGGGGUUUGAUCUGGGAAGCUUUUAGGCUUCAUUAUAAGCCAAAAGGGAAUUGAAGUAGAUCCUAACAAGGUCCGAGCCAUUCAGAACAUGCCUGCACCAAAGACUGAAAAGGAGGUUCGUGGUUUCUUGGGGAGACUAAAUUACAUCGCCAGGUUUAUCUCUCACCUUACUGCAACAUGUAAACCAAUAUUCAAGCUUUUAAGGAAGAAUCAAGGCGUGGAGUGGAACGACGACAGCCAAAUAGCCUUCGACAAAAUCAAAGAAUACUUACAAGAGCCACCAAUUCUGAUGCCCCCUACAGAAGGGAGACCUCUCAUCAUGUAUCUAACCGUGCUCGACGAGUCCAUGGGUUAUGUAUUGGGACAACAAGAUGAGACUGGUAGAAAAGAGUAUGCCAUCUAUUAUCUGAGCAAGAAAUUUAAUGAUUGUGAGACCAGAUAUUCAUUACUCGAGAAGACUUGUUGUGCACUCGCAUGGGCUGCUAAGCGUCUCAGGCAGUACAUGCUAACUCACAGACUUGGUUGGUAUCUAAAAUGGAUCCCAUCAAGUACAUAUUCGAGAAACCAGCUCUCACUGGUAGAAUUGCCCGGUGGCAGAUGUUGUUGUCAGAAUACGAUAUCCAAUAUGUCGUGCAAAAGGCGAUCAAAGGAAGCAUAUUAGCAGAUCAUCUGGCUCACCAAUCACUGGAGGAGUAUCAAUCUUUGAAGUUCGACUUCCCAGAUGAGAACAUCAUGGAUGUUGAAGACUCCGAACUAGAGGAAAGUUUUGAGCCAAAAGCAGGCUGGACGCUCAUGUUUGAUGGUGCCUCGAAUGCAAUAGGCCAUGGAAUUGGGGCAGUGCUGAUAUCUCCCAAGAAUUUCCAUCUACCGUUCACUACAAAGCUUUGUUUUACCUGCACAAACAACAUGGCCGGGUAUGAAGCUUGCAUAUAGGGUUGGAAGAAGCUAUUGAGUUGAAGAUCAAGAUACUAGAAGUAUUCGGGGACUCCGCUCUAGUCAUACAUCAGAUCAGAGGCGAUUGGGAAACAAGACAUGCUAACCUAAUUCCAUACCGGAUUAUGUACUGAAGCUACUCCCAAAGUUUCGACGAAAUCAUUUUCUCUCAUAUUCCUCGAGAAGAGAAUUAGAUGGCAGAUGCUUUAGCAACUCUGGCUUCCAUGUACAAAUUGAUAUGGCCCAACCAUCAACCUCAUAUUGAAUUAGGCUUUUGAUGAACCUGCUCAUUGCCUGACGACAACAGAAGAGCCAGACGGUAAACCCUGGUUCUUUGAUAUCAAACAAUAUCUGGAGAAGCGGGAAUAUCCGGCAGAGGCUUCCAGCCUUGACAAAAGGACGCUCGGAGGUUGGCAUCAAAAUUCCUCUUGAAUGGAGAGGUAUUGUACAAGCAAAACUAUGACAUGGUUUUGUUGAGGUGUGUGGACAAAAACGAAGCGGAUCAGCUUAUGAGGGACAUACACGGUACGCACGCCAAUGGGUAUGCCAUGGCAAAGAAAAUACUAAGGGUAGGUUACUACUGGAUGACGAUGGAAGCCGAUUGUUAUCACUACACCAGAGCAUGCCACAUAUGCCAAAUCUAUGCUGACAAAAUACAAAUACCGCCUACCCCGCUGAAUGUCAUAGCGUCACCUUGGCCUUUCUCUAUGUGGGGCAUCGACAUGAUUGGAAUGAUAGAUCCCAAAGCAUUAAAUGGACACCGGUUUAUCUUGGUGGCCAUAGAUUACAUUACCAAAUGGGUGGAAGUCGCGCCUUAUGCGAAUGUCACAAAGCACGUAGUCGCCCGUUUCUUAAAAAAUAACAUCAUAUGUCGAUAUGGGAUUCCCAACAAGAUCAUCAUUGAUAAUGGGUCCAAUCUCAACAACAAGACCAUGGAUGAGUUAUGCGCAACAUUCAAAAUUGAGCAUCAUAACUCAUCACCCUAUCGACCUAAGAUGAAUGGGGUUGUUGAAGCUGCAAAUAAAAAUAUCAAGAAAAUCAUCUAGAAGAUGGUUGUCAAGUACAAGGAUUGGCACAAGAUGUUACCUUUUGCGUUACAUGGCUAUCACACGUCGGUAUGAACUUCAACAGGGGCAACCCCUUAUUCCUUGGUAUAUGGUAUGGAAGCAGUUCUCCCUAUAGAAGUAGAGAUCCCCUCGAUGAGAGUCCUGGUGGAGGCUAAGCUAGACGGGGCAGAAUGAGUUCAAUCAAGGUAUGAUGAGCUCAACCUUAUUGAGGAGAAACGCUUGAAAGCGUUAGGUCACGGUCAACUCUAUCAGAGGCGUCUUAAAAAAGCAUUCGACAAGAAAGUUCGUCCCAGGGUGUUUCAAGAGGGAGAUUUAGUGUUGAAGAAAAUAUUGCCUAUUCACAAAGACUCCAAAAGGAAAUGGACACCAAAUUAUGAAGGUCUGUAUGUGGUGGUUAGAGUCUUUUCCAGAGGCGCUCUGAUCCUAGCUACUAUGGAUGGUGAUGAGUUGCCGCUUCCCAUCAACAUUGAUGCUGUUAAAAGGUACUUCGCCUAAAAAAGUGGAAUAGUAAAAGCCGCUAAAUCGAAAACCUGAAAGGGCGAUUUAGGCAAAAAAGGCUAUCCCGCUGGAUCGAAAACUCGAAAGGGCGAUCCAGGCAAAAAUUAGGGAUGAAAAUAAAAGGAUUUGACUCGCUGAGUUGAAAACCCGAAAGGGCGACUCAGGCAAAAAUGGGUAUCCCGGUGGAUCGAAAACCCGAAGGGGCGGUCCAGGCAAAAGUUAGGGAUUAAUUCCAAGGCAAAGAGUUGUACUUACAAACAUCUGACAUACCCUCGAAGACAAAGAAUCAAUCUACCUCACUUUUCAAAAGCAAAGUGCUCGGGCUAUCAAAGACAUAAGGAUCAUAGCAGUGUGGAAACUCAAUAAGAACUCAAUUUUCAUUGCCAUUUUGUUUCUAUGCACAACAAUUACCUCAUUAAGGAAUUGCAUCUUUAUGUACAAUCACCCAUUCAAGGGGCAAAUCAAUAAAAAAGAAAAUCUUCUCAACAAAAGUUCUGCCUAAAUCAUUUUUUAUAUUUUAUCUUUUUGCAAAGCACCUUUUAUUUUUGAUAAAACAUCACUUUUACAAAUUAUUGGAGAAAAUAAAACACAUGUUGGAAUAAAGUGGUAAAAUUGCUUUUGAAAUAGUAAGUGGACGAAUCCUUUAGUCUCCAAGAUUCAUUCUUGUUUUUCAUAAAGGUUUAGGACUGAUUGUAGAUAGUCAUGCUCCUUUCAACUAUUAAUUCAUACCUCUCAUAAAUGUACUCACGGUAUAGCCAAAUUGGGGCAAGGCUCUAUUACGUUUUCGGCAGAAACAUUGAUAAAUCAUGGAUAGAGUAUCGCGUGUUGAGAAGUCUGAACCCUUCAGUAACAUGGAGCAACCCAAGCAUAUUCCCAAAAUCACCUAGUGGGGCAUCAAAACUUGGUCUUCAUUGAUCACCCCAAUAACAAAAGUCCACACUAUUGGCAUCAUACCCCAAAGCAAAAAUGUCUUAACUAGGGGCAUGUCCAAUUACCCAUUUGCAUUCUAACAUGCAUCAUAUAAAUCAUUCAUAAAUGGCUUUCCUACCAAACAGAAAAUUUCAAAGAAACACAGUCAUAUCAAUCAUCAGCAUACUCAGGCAUAAUACUUCCCCAAAACGAAAAUUUCAACAAAAUAAAAAUCAUUCGCAUUCCUACAUGCACAGCCAAAUAUCCCCAGCAAAUUGCAUAUUUGCAUACAUCCCAUGCGUCAUCCCAUGCAUGGAAAUCCCACCUAAAGUGGGACAUCAUACAAAAAUCACACCAAAAUAUCAGGAUCGAAUGUCAUUCAUGUAUAUCUUGGACAUUCCUCAUUUCCAAAUAAAGUUAUUACCAUGCAUGCGCUCGUGGAAUCAUUUCCCGGCAAACCACUUUUCAACUUUAUGAUUAAUAAUGAUAUUCCCAAUAUUUUUCUUUACAAUCGUUGCUCCCUAAGCAGAGGUUACCAUAAAAAGUCUCUUAUGAGCUUUUCCCCUGUAGAGCAUUUCUAGUAAAUCUCCCUCAAAAGGAGUCUUUUCUUAAAAUUCCCCCAACGGACGAAUAUUCGAGAUACUGCUUCAUUUACCUGAAGAAUCUCAUUUUUACUGUUUGAGAUGUUGCUUCAUCAAUAUGAAGAGUCUCAUUUCAGAUUUUCUUUAGAGAUAUUACUCUAAUAUCCUCGGAGAGUCUUAGAUUUAAUUAAGGUAUCUUUCCCUUGUUGGAAUAUCUUAAUUCUAUCAUAUAAGAUGCUGCUUCGACUCGAUACAGAGAAUCUCAUUUUUACUGUUUAAGAUACUGCUUCAUCAAUAUGAAGAGUAUCAUUUCAGAUUUUCUUUAGAUAUACUGCUCUAAUAUCCUUAGAGAGUCUUAGAUUCAAUUAAGGUAUCUUUCCCUUGUUGGAAUAUCUUAAUUCUAUCAUAUAAGAUGCUGCUUCGACUCGAUACAGAGAAUCUCAUUUUUACUGUUUGAGAUACUGCUUCAUCAAUUGUAUCUUUCCCUUGUUGGAAUAUCUUAAUUCUAUCAUAUAAGAUGCUGCUUCGACUCGAUACAGAGAAUCUCAUUUUUACUGUUUGAGAUACUGCUUCAUCAAUAUGAAGAGUCUCAUUUCAGAUUUCUUUAGAGAUACUGCUCUAAUAUCCUCAGAGAGUCUUAGAUUCAAUUAAGGUAUCUUUCCCUUGCUGGAAUAUCUUAAUUCUAUCAUAUAAGAUGCUGCUUCGACUCGAUACAUAGAAUCUCAUUUUUACUGUUUGAGAUACUGCUUCGUCAAUAUGAAGAGUCUCAUUUCAGAUUCUUGUAGAGAUAUUGCUCUAAUAUCCUCGGAGAGUCUUAGAUUCAAUUAAGGUAUUUUUUCCCUUGUCGGAAUAUCUUAAUUCUAUCAUAUAAGAUACUGUUUCGACUCGAUACAUAGAAUCUCAUUUUUACUGUUUGAGAUACUGCUUCAUUUAUCUGAAGAAUCUCAUUUAUCUGUUUGAGAUACUGCUUCAUUUAUCCUAAGAAUCUCAUUUGUCUGUUUGAGAUACUGCUUCAUUCAUUUGAAGAAUCUCAUUUUUGUUUUCAAGAUACCGCUCUAAUAUCCUCGGAGAAUCAUAGAUACGAUUGAGGUAUCAUUCCCUUGUUGGAAUAUCUCGAUUAUGCCAUAUAAGAAACUGCUCCGUCGAUCCCCUGAGAAUAUUGUGUUUUCUGUUCGAGACAAUGUUCUGCUAAUUUUCAAAAAGUUUUAGAUACCAUUGAAGUAUCGUUCUAUUGUUAGAAUAUCUCAAUCAUGGCAUCCAAGAUGUUGCUCUGAUAAUUCCCAGAGAGUCUUGAUUGUUUUAUUUUACCUUCCGAUAACCUUUUCUUACUAUAUUUCUCACUGCAUUUUGUUUCCGCAUUUCUUCCUUACAUUUCAAAGGACAAAAUUCGGGUCUUUCUGAUAAUUCCCAGAGAGUCUUGAUUGUUUUAUUUUACCUUCCGAUAACCUUUUCUUACUAUAUUUCUCACUGCAUUUUGUUUCCGCAUUUCUUCCUUACAUUUCAAAGGACAAAAUUCGGGUCUUUCAAGUAUUUAAUUAUCUUCCACCGCAAAUGUACGAAGACUGUUGUCAUUCAUACUUUCUGGUUCAAGGUAGUUAAAUAGGGGUAACUGUCAUACCCCAAUUUUGUCCCUACCCCGAUACAAUUUUCAUCUGAUCCAUGGCCACACUGCACAUGCAUGCUUUCGUAAAUUCAUCAUCAUAAUUUCGUUGAACUUUCAUAACCAAAUACGUAUUACAUGGACCCAAGGCAUGGUGUUUACACCCCGGAAAAACUGGGGUUAUCCGGUUAAAGAUCAAGAAGAGAAAUAAGGGAAAAAUCAAUUUUUGUACUGUGUAAUCGAUUACCCUAAUCAUGGUAAUCAUUUACACAGAUAAGAAAUUAAUUUCCAAGCAAUUUUUGUACUGUGUAAUCGAUUAUCCUAAUCAUGGUAAUCGGUUACACAAACAAGAAAUUGAUUUCCAGGCAAUUUUUGUACUGUGUAAUAGAUUACCCUAAUCAUGGUAAUCGGUUACACAGAUAAGAAAUUGAUUUCCAGGCAAUUUUUAUACUGUGUAAUCGAUUACCCUAAUCAUGGUAAUCGGUUACACAGACAAGAAAUUGAUUUCCAGGCAAUUUUUGUACUGUGUAAUCGAUUACCCUAAUCAUGGUAGUCGAUUACACAGAUUAAAAAUUGACUUUCAGGCCAUUUUUGUACUGUGUAAUCGAUUACGCCAAUCAUGAUAAUCGAUUACACAGACUAAAAAUUGACUUCCAGGCCAUUUUGGAUGGUGUAAUCUAUAACAACCCAAUUUUAGUAUCUAUUUCUUAUAUUAUCAUUAUUAUAUUUUAUUUUAUUUAUUUGGAGUGUUAAUUAAUUAAUUGGUUGUUAGGUAGUAUAAUAAUUGAUUAUAUUAAUUAAUUUGGUGUGUUAAUUAAUUAUUUAGUUGAUAUGAGAUAUAAUUGAAUAAUUGAUUAUAUUAAUUAACUUGGUGGGUAUAUUGUGUUGGUUUAAUUUUAUUUGAAUUAAAUAGAGAUAUUAUAAUACCAGGUCUUAUUGGGCCUAUUAAUUAAAUUAGAGGUAUCAUUCUUUAAGCCCAAAUAUAAUACUAUAAAUAAGAGGUAGGAGAGUGAGAAGUAGGAUUCGUUUGAUCAUUUGACGGCAAUAGAGAAAGAAAAGAGGAAAAGUAAGGAGAAGAGGGGAAGAACAAGAGAGAAGCUAAGGUUCCAGAAAAUUGAAGAGGUAAGGGGGAGAAUCCUUAUUAUUAUGGGUUAGUAUGAUUGGGUCAAUGGGUAGAAAUAUGUUUAUGUUGAAAUCCCUAAUUUUUAUGAUUUUUGAAAUUGUUAGGUUUUGAUGAGUAUUCUUGAUUUGUGGUGAUUUAAUUGUGUUAAAAUUGUAAAUUAACCUUAUACACUUAGCGUAUUGUAUGAGUUAUAAUUUUUUGAGCGUUUGGCUUUUUACGAAAUCGAAAUCGGAGGUCCGAAAGUCCUCCAACGUGAAAAACGCUGAAAAUUUUGCAUUUUGUUUUGUGUUAACGCAGGAAUUGCAUUCUGUUUUGCGUUAACCGGUUAACCAAAAGCGUUAACCGGUUAACACUGUUGAAAAUCCGUUAGGAAUUGCAUUCUAUUUUGCGUUAACCGGUUAACCAAAAGCGCUAACCGGUUAACACUGUUGAAAUCUGCCAGGAAGUGCAUUCUGUCUCGCGUUAACCGGUUACCUGAAUGCGUUAACCGGUUAACACUGUUGAAAAAUGAAAAAUUGAGAUUUUAAAAGUUGUAUUCAUUUUGAAAUGAAAUCUAAGUGUGCGUGUUUGAUAAUUAGCCUAUAUUUGUGAAUGAUAUAUUGUUAUGAAUGUGUAUAUGUACCAUUGAUGGAUAAUUCAUAGAGUUGAAUUAUGGUGAUAUGUGGAAUGUUAAGAUGGUAGAGAUGAUCUUAAUUGCAUAUGUAUUGGUAUUUGUACAUUCAUUCAUGGCAUGGUCGGCUUCAUAGUGGAAGCGGUGAAACUGUGGGUUCACAUGGUAUUAGACGUUGAUCCUUGAAUGGAAAUAGGCGUAGCAGACGUUGAUCCUUAAUUGGAAAUAGGCGUAGUGGCUUUGAUCUUGUCCGGAUCGGAAGCGUGGCUUGGAUUCUAGAUAUUGAAUCGGAAAGCGGUGAAACGUUGGGUUCACAUUGAGGUACCACAUGCAUAGAGUCACAUGUCUUGCAUUGAGUCACAUUAGAGUUAUGUGAUAAUUGAAUGUAUGCAUUGAUGUGAUUGUGAGGUGUGUAUGAGAUAUGGUAAUUGAAUUUGGUGAUGUUUGGAUACAUAAUUUGGCAAAAUAUGUGAUUAUGUGAUAAUUGUAGUUAUGUGUAUAUUUGGGAAUAUAGUGUUGGAUUUUAAUAUUGUACUCCUUGAGUUUUGAUGGAUGUUUGAAACGUGUGAAAUAAAUGUUGGUUAAUAUUAUUGACAUGGUUAUACAAGGUGUGAUGAAUUCCGUUAAUUGUUGAUUUAAUCAUUGUGCCUUAUUAUACUUCUUCAUAAUGAUUUGAAUUCUCACCCUUCUGUUUGAAUGUUGCUUUACAUGGCAUCGUGCAGAUACUCCAGAGUAGUAGUGCGGAAGUAAGUGGACGGUAACUCACUCGAGAUUUAGCUGGAGAGGUUCCGUGUUUCAGUUUAGAGACUAAGUAGUGAGUCAAUGCUCUGGUCAUGUAACACUGGGUAGAUUAGUAGUAUUGAACUUGUAUCUUAUUUGGAUAUGCAUUAUGUUAUUACUUGUUUUAUUUUAUCUUGAGGUGAUUAUUGAGGGAUGAUCAUGGUAUGGGACAUGGAUCAUUUUAUGACAUACAUGAGUAUUCAUUAUUUUCCGCUGCGAACGCAUAUUCUUGAAUAUUCAUGAUAAUUGAAAGGUGUUAUUUUAAAUGACCAGGUGUAUGGUAUAUUGAUGAGGAAUGAUGUUUGGUUUUUGAAAGCUUUUAGUUUUUGAAAACAUCGAUGUGACACCCUUUUGUUUAUAUGCGUGCUUAUUUACUCUGAUUAUAUGUUAAGUAUUUUGGGGUAGAAAAAAGAGGUGUUACAUAAUCGAUUACCCCAAUCAUGGUAAUCGAUUACACCUGCGCAGACAGCUGUAGUAGCUCUGUUUUUUACACAGUGUACUUUUUGGGUCACCCCUUUUUCCACCUACUUUCCCUAUAAAUAGAGGUACUAUUUCCCCUCAUUUUUCAUGCUUCCUAGCCCCCAAAAGUUCGGUCCAAGUACCAUUUACUCUCCUCUCCAAACCUAGGUCAAAACAAAAAAUCUUUCUCACUUAGAAAAGUCACCCCACCAACCUUUUUUGUCCUCUUUCAUAUUUUUUUUUCAAAACUUCUUACU
rnacentral:lncRNA from 1 species